rnacentral:rRNA from 1 species
UCUUCCGCAAUGGGGGCAACCCUGACGGAGCGACGCCGCGUGGGGGAGGACACCCUUCGGGGCGUAAACCCCUUUUCGGUCGGAAGAACGAUUCCCGCGAGGGGGUCCUGACGGUACGGCCGGAAUCAGGGCCGGCUCACUACGUGCCAGCAGCCGCGGUAAUACGUAGGGCCCGAGCGUUGUCCGGAGUUACUGGGCGUAAAGGGCGCGCAGGCGGCGGCGUGGGCCCGGCGUGAAAGCCCCCGGCUCAACCGGGGAGGGUCGCCGGGGACCGCGCCGCUCGAGGGCGGCAGGGGCCGGUGGAAUGCCCGGUGUAGUGGUGAAAUGCGUAGAGAUCGGGCGGAACACCCGGGGCGAAGGCGGCCGGCUGGGCCGUCCCUGACGCUGAGGCGCGAAGGCGUGGGGAGCGAAC